rnacentral:tRNA from 1 species
UGCGGGCUGGUGCAACCGGCAGCACGCCGAGCUCUGGACUCGGAGGUUGGAGGUUCGAAUCCUCCGCCCGCAG